GAUGAAGAACGCAGCGAAAUGCGAUACGUAAUGUGAAUUGCAGAAUUCAGUGAAUCAUCGAAUCUUUGAACGCACAUUGCGCCUGCCAGCAUUCUGGCGGGCAUGCCUGUUCGAGCGUCAUUUCAACCAUCAAGCCCCAGGCUUGCGUUGGAGCCCUGCGGCUGCCGCAGCCUCCUAAAAGCAGUGGCGGGCUCGCUAUCACACCGAGUGCAGUAGAUUACUCUUCGCUCAGGGCGUGCAGCGGGUUCCGGCCGUGAAACCCCCUACUUUUAAAGGUUGACCUCGGAUCAGGUAGGAAUACCCGCUGAACUUAAGCAUAUCAAUAAGCGGAGGA
rnacentral:misc_RNA from 1 species